GACGAACGCUGGCGGCGUGCUAAUACAUGCAAGUAGAACGCUGAAGGAGGAGCUUGCUCUUCUGGAUGAGUUGCGAACGGGUGAGUAACGCGUAGGUAACCUGCCUGGUAGCGGGGGAUAACUAUUGGAAACGAUAGCUAAUACCGCAUAAUAGUAGAUGUUGCAUGACAUUUGCUUAAAAGGUGCAAUUGCAUCACUACCAGAUGGACCUGCGUUGUAUUAGCUAGUUGGUGAGGUAACGGCUCACCAAGGCAACGAUACAUAGCCGACCUGAGAGGGUGAUCGGCCACACUGGGACUAAGACACGGCCCAGACUCCUACGGGAGGCAGCAGUAGGGAAUCUUCGGCAAUGGACGGAAGUCUGACCGAGCAACGCCGCGUGAGUGAAGAAGGUUUUCGGAUCGUAAAGCUCUGUUGUAAGAGAAGAACGAGUGUGAGAGUGGAAAGUUCACACUGUGACGGUAUCUUACCAGAAAGGGACGGCUAACUACGUGCCAGCAGCCGCGGUAAUACGUAGGUCCCGAGCGUUGUCCGGAUUUAUUGGGCGUAAAGCGAGCGCAGGCGGUUAGAUAAGUCUGAAGUUAAAGGCUGUGGCUUAACCAUAGUACGCUUUGGAAACUGUUUAACUUGAGUGCAAGAGGGGAGAGUGGAAUUCCAUGUGUAGCGGUGAAAUGCGUAGAUAUAUGGAGGAACACCGGUGGCGAAAGCGGCUCUCUGGCUUGUAACUGACGCUGAGGCUCGAAAGCGUGGGGAGCAAACAGGAUUAGAUACCCUGGUAGUCCACGCCGUAAACGAUGAGUGCUAGGUGUUAGACCCUU
rnacentral:rRNA from 1 species